rnacentral:rRNA from 1 species
GAUGAACGCUGGCGGCGUGCCUAAUACAUGCAAGUCGAGCGAACAGACCAGGAUCUUGCGCCGCCGACGGUAGCAGCGGACGGGUGAGUAACACGGGGAUAACCUAACUAUAAGACUGGGAUAACAUUGGGAAACCGGAGCUAAUGCCGGAAAAUAUAUUGAACCGCAUGGGUCCAUAGUGAAAGACGGUUUUGGUGUCACUAAUAGAUGGAUCCGGGCCGCAUCAGCUAGUUGGUAAGGUAACGGCUUACCAAGGCAAGGAUGGGUAGCCGACCCGAGAGCGACGUCCACCACCCUGGCACUGAGGCACGUCCCAGACUCCGACGCGAGGCCGCGGUAGGGACUCUUCCGCGAUGCACCAGUGCCUGACGUAGCACCGCGGCCUGAGUCCUGAUGCUCCUCGGCUCCUAGAACUCUGUUAUUCGUAGAGAAGUAAUGCGUAUGUAACUAUGACGAUAUUGACGGUACCUGAACAGAAAGCCACGGCUAACUUCGUG